rnacentral:rRNA from 1 species
AAUAUUGGACAAUGGGCGAAAGCCUGAUCCAGCCAUGCCGCGUGUGUGAAGAAGGUCUUCGGAUUGUAAAGCACUUUAAGUUGGGAGGAAGGGUUGUAGGUUAAUACUCUGCAAUUUUGACGUUACCAACAGAAUAAGCACCGGCUAACUACGUGCCAGCAGCCGCGGUAAUACGUAGGGGGCAAGCGUUAUCCGGAUUUACUGGGUGUAAAGGGAGCGUAGGUGGUUCGUUAAGUUGGAAGUGAAAGCCCCGGGCUUAACCUGGGAAUUGCUUUCAAAACUGACGAGCUAGAGUACGGUAGAGGGUAGUGGAAUUUCCUGUGUAGCGGUGAAAUGCGUAGAUAUAGGAAGGAACAUCAGUGGCGAAGGCGACUACCUGGACUGAUACUGACACUGAGGUGCGAAAGCGUGGGGAGCAAACAGG